GAUGAACGCUGACAGAAUGCUUAACACAUGCAAGUCUACUUGAAUUUGGGUUUUUUCACUUAGAUUUGGGUGGCGGACGGGUGAGUAACGCGUAAAGAACUUGCCUCACAGUUAGGGACAACAUUUGGAAACGAAUGCUAAUACCUGAUAUUAUGAAUAUAUGGCAUCAUAUAAUUAUGAAAGCUAUAAGCGCUGUGAGAGAGCUUUGCGUCCCAUUAGCUAGUUGGAGAGGUAACGGCUCACCAAGGCGAUGAUGGGUAGCCGGCCUGAGAGGGUGAACGGCCACAAGGGGACUGAGACACGGCCCUUACGCCUACGGGAGGCAGCAGUGGGGAAUAUUGAACAAUGGACCAAGAGUCUGAUCCAGCAAUUCUGUGUGCACGAUGACGUUUUUCGGAAUGUAAAGUGCUUUCAGUUGGGAAGAAAAAAAUGACGGUACCAACAGAAGAAGUGACGGCUAAAUACGUG
rnacentral:rRNA from 1 species